GAAUCUGAUUUAUUCUUUUGCCUUUCAACAUCUUUUCUCUAACACAGAAAGUUUUAAAAUGGUAUAAAAAUCAACUAAAUACAAAGUCCCUACAGUCAAAUCAGAUCUAAUCCUCUCAUAUUCCUUUUCUCCUAUGACUUCUGUCAACAGUUUGCUCUUCAGUGCAGGAUGAUGGUGCUGGAAUGUGACUGUGACACCACAACCACUGACAGUCUGAUCAGACCAAAGCUGUUACUGUCACGGGCAGGGUAGAUCUGGGCUCAGCAGGGAUAUGUAUUUAACCCCCCUGAGCCCUGUGCCAGAUGGGAAGAUCCUUCAAGCCUGAUUGGAGAAAGGCAGACACUGGGCCUCUUGGAGGGAGUUCUGUGUUAUUCUGGUACUCCCCAAAGUAAUGCUGAGUUGAAAAAGAGUGGACCAGCCAGCUGGCUUCUGGUUGACACCAGAAGAGUGAUGAGGGGGAGAGGGACAAUAAACUGAAUGCAGACUACACACAACACAUCAGAAACAUGAAGCAGGAGGACCAGAGAGAGCUGUGUGAGCGCCUGCUCUCUGAAAGACUUUAAAUACUGGGCAACUGAGAUUUUGGAACACACUGUUGACAGCUGUUUUGGAACUACAAAUAUGAUGUGUGCUACAUCUGAGGUGGAGGUAUCAGACUGUAGAAUAGGAAUGUCAGACACACUGAUGUUACUCUGGCUCCCUGAACUGAUUUGGAGUGAGAGCUUCAGUAUAGGUGAGAACUUCAGUAUAGAUGGCAAAUUUUUCUCAAGACUUAAUGUACAGGACCAUGAGAGCAACUGAUAGAGCUAACAAUAAUUAUUUUUUUUUUCCAAUUAAAAAUGUGCAGUGAUAUUUUAAAUGUCAAAAAAAUUAUAAUUCAGGCUUUCAUUGUAUUAUUAUACCAUGCUGAAGCUAACAGUUUUCCAUUACUCCCUGAAUAAUAUGUAAUAAUGAUUUGAAUAAUAUGUAAUAAUGAUUUAGUGCACAGAAUAAAAAAAACACUAAAUAUUCAUAUUGAACCACAGAAGUUCUUGAAACCAUAUAACAUCUGGGUGCAGAGAAAACCCUAGACCACCCAACCAUUGUUUGGCCAUUGAUUCUGCAAGUAAAACCUCACUAGCUCCUACAAGUUUGAAAUACUACACAGUCUCUCAAACCUAUUCUGGAUGGGGGAAAACAGAAAAUUAACAUUUCAUAGAGGUAAAAUUGUAAUUUAAACUUUCUCUGAUAUUAAUGUGAAUAAGAAGAAAGGUUUCUUAAAUAUAAGAGAACAAUC